rnacentral:rRNA from 1 species
UACAGAGGUCUCAAGCGUUGUUCGGAUUCAUUGGGCGUAAAGGGUGCGUAGGUGGUGAUGCAAGUCUGGUGUGAAAUCUCGGGAGCUCAACUCCGAAAUUGCACCGGAUACUGCGUGACUCGAGGACUGUAGAGGAGAUCGGAAUUCACGGUGUAGCAGUGAAAUGCGUAGAUAUCGUGAGGAAGACCAGUUGCGAAGGUGGAUCUCUGGGCAGUUCCUGACACUGAGGCACGAAGGCCAGGGGAGCAAACGGG